UCAUAUGAAUCUUUACUUUUGAAUCAUUGAGAUAUGUUCCUCUAUUGUUACAUCGAUGUCAUGAUUUUUAAUCACAUUCCCUUCAAAUUCUGAUUGAUUCUUUUGAUUUUGUGUUGAAAUACGAGUCUGACGCCUAUGGAGGUUUUACCUCAAGUACACACAAAUGCUGAUUCGCUUGAAUUGAAUCAUUUUGUGGCCAUUCCACAAGUGUUAAUUCACAUACUGCAGAUGUGUGUGUGUGUGUGUGUGUCGCAGUCCUCAACCAAUGGUACCAAGUCACAUCUGAAUGGAGGAAGUGUUCAUAUGUGUCACAUUUCAGAUGUUUUCAUACUGUAAACACGUCAUGUUUAGAAUGGAGAGCCGUUCGUUUGUGGUUAUUUAUCAGAUGAACUCCACCGUCGUAAGGUCACAGCAAUAGUAUGUUGCAGAUUACAGUGUUUGUUUGUUACAUUAAUAAGUCCAAAAAGGUCAAAUGAAUCGACUCUUAUUGAAACGGUUGUAUUUCUUUGCCAUCAUUUCGUUCAGUAUUUCCACAGACAUUGUUUUCUAACAUUCAGUAUUUUGUUAUGUCAUUUCUGCACACUGACUCUUUAGUUGUUGUUGUUUUUUAUAGUUUUUUUGUAGCAUGUUGUAAUUCAGUGUUCACCUCAUGAGUUUACUACUACUGCUAAAAUGCAGAAUAACAGUCGGUUUUAAACUAUUCAACACAAAACUGAAAUCUAAAGUCAACCACAGUGCCAUUUUUUUUUUUUUUUGUAUUUGUCUAAUUUCAUUUGUCUUUAAAGGAUGGGAUGUGAAGGUUACCAUGUUUACUAUGGUACUGCAUUCAGUGGAGCUGAAAUGUGACAUAAUUGUAUUCCUCUCAAAAUGUUUCUGUAUCUCAUGAAAAUAAUUCACCUCUUUGUCAAGCAUCAAUAAAGUACCUGUUUAGAAAAUA